rnacentral:lncRNA from 1 species
AAAUAUCUAUUGUGGAUACUAGCUUUGAUUGUAUUCAUGUUUUGAUCAUUCUUGAAUUUUACACCACUAUGAUUAUUUUUGAGAUAUUUUUGGACAUGGAUAAAACAAAGUACGAAUCCUUAAUCCUUAAUCCUUGUCAUUUUGUUUCACUGGAUUCGUUUCUUUAAAAAUAUUUUUCAUCAUCCUCAGUCUUAAAUGAUGAUAUUAUUGAAUAUCUUUG